rnacentral:tRNA from 1 species
UCCCGAUUAGUUCAGCUGGUAGAACACCGGACUGUUAAUCCGUAUGUCGCUGGUUCGAGUCCAGCAUCGGGAGCCA